GACGAACGCUGGCGGCGUGCUUAACACAUGCAAGUCGAACGGAAAGGCCCUGCUUUUGUGGGGUGCUCGAGUGGCGAACGGGUGAGUAACACGUGAGUAACCUGCCCUUGACUUUUGGAUAACUUCAGGAAACUGGGGCUAAUACCGGAUAGGAGCUCCUGCUGCAUGGUGGGGGUUGGAAAGUUUCGGCGGUUGGGGAUGGACUCGCGGCUUAUCAGCUUGUUGGUGGGGUAGUGGCUUACCAAGGCUUUGACGGGUAGCCGGCCUGAGAGGGUGACCGGCCACAUUGGGACUGAGAGACGCGCCAGACUCCUACGGGAGGCAGCAGUGGGGAAUAUUGCACAAUGGGCGGAAGCCUGAUGCAGCAACGCCGCGUGCGGGAUGACGGCCUUCGGGUUGUAAACCGCUUUCGCCUGUGACGAAGCGUGAGUGACGGUAAUGGGUAAAGAAGCACCGGCUAACUACGUG
rnacentral:rRNA from 1 species